rnacentral:rRNA from 1 species
AGCGAACGCUGGCGGCAGGCUUAACACAUGCAAGCCGAGCGGGCACUUUCGGGUGUCAGCGGCGGACGGGUGAGUAACGCGUGGGAACGUGCCCUCUGGUUCGGAAUAACUCAGGGAAACUUGAGCUAAUACCGGAUACGCCCUUUUGGGGAAAGGCUUGCUGCCGGAGGAUCGGCCCGCGUCUGAUUAGCUAGUUGGUGAGGUAACGGCUCACCAAGGCGACGAUCAGUAGCUGGUCUGAGAGGAUGAUCAGCCACACUGGGACUGAGACACGGCCCAGACUCCUACGGGAGGCAGCAGUGGGGAAUAUUGGACAAUGGGCGCAAGCCUGAUCCAGCCAUGCCGCGUGAGUGAUGAAGGCCUUAGGGUUGUAAAGCUCUUCUAUCCGGGACGAUAAUGACGGUACCGGAGGAAUAAGCCCCGGCUAACUUCGUG